rnacentral:snRNA from 1 species
GUGCUCACUUCGGCAGCACAUAUACCAAAA